CUCCUACGGGAGGCAGCAGUGGGGAAUUUUGGACAAUGGGGGCAACCCUGAUCCAGCCAUGCCGCGUGAGUGAAGAAGGCCUUCGGGUUGUAAAGCUCUUUCGGACGGAACGAAACGGUUAGCGUGAAUAUCGCUGACUAAUGACGGUACCGUAAGAAGAAGCACCGGCUAACUACGUGCCAGCAGCCGCGGUAAUACGUAGGGUGCGAGCGUUAAUCGGAAUUACUGGGCGUAAAGCGUGCGCAGGCGGUUCGCCAAGUCAGGUGUGAAAUCCCCGGGCUUAACCUGGGAAUUGCGCUUGAAACUAGCGGGCUUGAGUGUGGCAGAGGGGGGUGGAAUUCCACGUGUAGCAGUGAAAUGCGUAGAGAUGUGGAGGAACACCGAUGGCGAAGGCAGCCCCCUGGGUCAACACUGACGCUCAUGCACGAAAGCGUGGGGAGCAAACAGGAUUAGAUACCCUGGUAGUCCACGCCCUAAACGAUGUCGACUAGGUGUUGGGGAAGGAGACUUCCUUAGUACCGCAGCUAACGCGUGAAGUCGACCGCCUGGGGAGUACGGUCGCAAGAUUAAAACUCAAAGGAAUUGACGGGGACCCGCACAAGCGGUGGAUGAUGUGGAUUAAUUCGAUGCAACGCGAAAAACCUUACCUACCCUUGACAUGUACGGAAGCCUGCUGA
rnacentral:rRNA from 1 species